UACGAAGGAUGCAAGCGUUAAUCGGAAUUACUGGGCGUAAAGCGUGCGUAGGCGGUUGGCUAAGUCAGAUGUGAAAGCCCUGGGCUCAACCUGGGAAUGGCAUUUGAAACUGGCGAGCUAGAGUGUGAUAGAGGAUGGCGGAAUUCCCGGUGUAGCGGUGAAAUGCGUAGAUAUCUGGAGGAACACCGGUGGCGAAGGCGACACGCUGGGCCGUACCUGACACUGAGGCGCGAUAGCAUGGGGAGCAAACAGG
rnacentral:rRNA from 1 species